UCGGCCUAUCCGGAUGUCGGAUCUCAUUAUUAGAUGGUUACAUCGAUUAGUAUCAAAAUUUAUUUCUAUGCUACUAGCUUAGGUUCGAACCUUUGGGGUCACACACAUUAGAAGAUUCGAUCUGAUCAGAUGGAUAUUAAGUCCCAUUGGAUUGGGACUCUAAUGAAGAGUCCCACUAGAUUGGGACUCUAGUGGAGAGUCCCACUGG
rnacentral:lncRNA from 1 species